AAAACUUAUACCUCUCUCUGUGUCUGUGUGUGUAAAUGCUGAUUACAGCAGGUGCAGCCAAUUUAGCUGACCUAGAUAUACCAAGCACAGACUCUUAACAGCCACUGUACACUUUGCUCUCUGUGUAUGUGUGUGUGAGUAUCAAUAUUUCUCCCAUGUUAAAGUAUUACUCCUCCAUAAUAGUAUUUGUGCUAAAUCAAAGUACUUCUACUACAUCUUAGUACUUCUGCUCAAUCAUAGUAUUUCUGCUAAAUCAUAGUAUUUUUGACAAAUCAUGGUAUUUGUGCCAAAUCAUGGUUUGGGGGCAGAACCAUAAUAUUUAUUUUAUGUUAUGAGAUUACUACUAAGUGGAGGAAUGUCUGUUAUGUUAUAGUAUAUUUGCUGAAUAUAGUAUAUCUGCCAAAUCAUAGUAUUUAUCCCAAAUCAUAGUGUUUAUGCAAAAUUACAGUAUUUCUGCUAAAAAGCAGAAAUAGUACCUUUUAGCAGAAAUUUCUGUCAAAAGAUAUUAUUUAUGUUAAAAGUAUUUCUGCUAAAUCAUAGUAUUUUUGCCAAGUCAUGGUAUUUGUGCCAAAUCAUGGUUUUGGGGCCAAAUCAGAAUAUUUCUGAUAUAUUAUAGUAUUACUACUAGGUGGAAGUAUUUCUGUUAUGUUAUAGUAUAUAUACUGAAUAUAGUAUAUCUGUCAAAUCAUAGUAUUUAUCCCAAAUCAUAGUAUUUAUGCCAAAUUACAGUAUUUCUGCCAAAAGGCAGAAAUAGUACCUUUUAGCAGAAAUUUCUGCCAAAAAAUAGUAUUUAUGUUAAAACAUAGUAUUUCUGCUAAAUCAUAGUAUUUGUACUGAAACAUAGUAUUUCUGCCCAAUCAUAGUAUUUGUACCCAAUCAUAGUAUUUCUGCCAUAUCAUAGUAUUUGUGCCAAAUUAUGGGAUUUUGCAAAAACAUGGUACUUGUGCCAAAUUAUAGUAUUUGUGCCCAAUUAAUAUUUCGGUUAUGUUAUAGUAUUACUACUAUGUCGUAGAAUUUCUGUUAUGUUAUAGUAUAUCUGCUGAAUAAGGUAUAUGUGCCAAAACAUAGUAUUUAUACCAAAUCAUAGUAUUGUGCAAAUAGUAUUUCCAUUGUAUUGCAAAACAUAGACUGUCUGCAACAUAACAGUAUAUCUGUUAUGUUAUAGUAUUACUACUAAGUCACAGUAUUUCUGCCAAUUCGUAGUAUUUGUACUAAAUCAUACUACUCGUGCCAAAUCAUAGUAUUUGUUGCAAAUCAUAGUAUUCAAACCAAAAUAUAGUAUUUGUACCAAAGCAUUGUAUUUGUAUGAAGUACCGUAUUUCUGCCAAAUCAUAGAAUUACUGCAAUUUCAUAGUAUUUUGAGGAAUCCCUUUUGUGAUAGUAUUACUUCUAAGUCAUAGUAUUUCUGCUUUGUCAUAGUAUUUGUACUAAAACGUAGUAUUUCUGCCAAAUCAUAGUAUUACUGCUAUCUCAUAGUAUUUGAGUGAAAUUACAGUGUUUCUGCAAAAACAUUGUAUUUCUGCUAAAUCAUAGUAUUUCUGUUAUCUUAGAGUACUUGUACUCAAUUAUAGUAUUUGAGCCAAAGUUUAGUAUUUCUGCCAAAUCAUAUUUAUGUGAAUUUGUACACUGUAAUAUCGCUGUAUUACGUAGUGGCUAAGUAGGAGGCUGACUGUUACUAAGUGCAUCAGUGUACAUAGGUCAUCUCUUGUGUUGGAGUGCCCUCUUGUGACGCCUUUUGGGUAGUGCCUUAGUAAAUGUGAACACUGCAAGAAGUGGUAUCAGACUGGUUUGUAGUGGAGGAAUUUGUUGCCAUUUCUUUAAUCUUUAAUCGUAUUCUGUUGUAAUGUAUACCCUGUUCUUAAUCAUAGAAACCACACCAUAUCACCCCUCCACAUCCUCCUACUGUAUGCCAUAUCUCCCUGUAACAUCCAUCUGACUGCCAAUAAACUCCACCUGUGGUAAUCUAAUCCCUGGAUGACAGCCUCUCCUUCUGACCGAGGAUAGCUACUAUUGCAGCACCACCCAGCAUUAAACUGACGUACACCAUUCUGUACAGUGCUAAUCAUAGUGUUUGUGCCAAACAAUAGCAUUCACCCAAAUAAUAG
ensembl:lncRNA